rnacentral:rRNA from 1 species
GGUGUAGGUGGCUCUGCAAGUCAGGAGUGAAAGCCCCAGGCUUAACCUGGGAAGUGCUUUUGAUACUGCAGAGCUUGAAUGUGGGAGAGGAUGGUGGAAUUCCAGGUGUAGUGGUGAAAUACGUAGAUAUCUGGAGGAACUCCGGUGGCGAAGGCGGCCAUCUGGCCCAACAUUGACACUGAGACCCGAAAGCGUGGGAUCGAAACG